AAUAGCGGUAUUUUGUAACUUUUUCCUAAGACUGGCAGGGCAAGAAUCCUUUCGUUCCAUCACAAGGUCGUAUUACAGAGGUGCAGCAGGAGCUUUACUAGUUUACGAUAUUACACGGAGAGAUACAUUCAACCACUUGACAACCUGGUUAGAAGAUGCCCGCCAGCAUUCCAAUUCCAACAUGGUCAUUAUGCUUAUUGGAAAUAAAAGUGAUUUAGAAUCUAGAAGAGAAGUAAAAAAAGAAGAAGGUGAAGCUUUUGCACGAGAACAUGGACUCAUCUUCAUGGAAACGUCUGCUAAGACUGCUUCCAAUGUAGAAGAGGCAUUUAUUAAUACAGCAAAAGAAAUUUAUGAAAAAAUUCAAGAAGGAGUCUUUGACAUUAAUAAUGAGGCAAAUGGCAUUAAAAUUGGCCCUCAGCAUGCUGCUACCAAUGCAACACAUGCAGGCAAUCAGGGAGGACAGCAGGCUGGGGGCGGCUGCUGUUGAGUCUGUUUUUACUGUCUAGCUGCCCAACGGGGCCUACUCACUUAUUCUUUCACCCCCUCUCCUCCUGCUCAGCUGAGACAUGAAACUAUUUGAAAUGGCUUUAUGUCACAGAAGACUUUAAUCCUUCAAAUUCUUGUAUAACUUUGAAUAAAUGGUUAAUGUUCACUUAAAA
rnacentral:sRNA from 1 species